rnacentral:rRNA from 1 species
AACUAACGCUGGCGGCGUGCCUAACACAUGCAAGUCGUACGAGAAAGUUGACUUCGGUCAAUGAGUAAAGUGGCGCACGGGUGAGUAACGCGUGGAUAAUCUGCCCUUCAGCCGGGAACAACCCACCGAAAGGUGGGCUAAUACCCGAUAACACGGCACUACAUAAGUAGUGUCGUCAAAGGUGGCCUCUGCUUGCAAGCUAUCACUGGAGGAUGAGUCCGCGUACCAUUAGCUAGUUGGUAGGGUAAUGGCCUACCAAGGCGACGAUGGUUAGCUGGUCUGAGAGGAUGAUCAGCCACACUGGAACUGAGACACGGUCCAGACUCCUACGGGAGGCAGCAGUGAGGAAUCUUGCGCAAUGGGGGAAACCCUGACGCAGCAACGCCGCGUGAGUGAGGAAGGCUUUCGGGUCGUAAAGCUCUGUCGGAUGGGAAGAGGUGCGUAUUGGCUAAUAUCCAGUACGCUUGACGGUACCAUCAAAGGAAGCACCGGCUAACUCCGUGCCAGCCGCCGCGGUAACAC